rnacentral:misc_RNA from 1 species
AACUGCGAUAAGUAAUGUGAAUUGCAGAAUUCAGUGAAUCAUCGAGUCUUUGAACGCACAUUGCGCCCCCUGGCAUUCCGGGGGGCAUGCCUGUCCGAGCGUCAUUGCUGCCCUUCAAGCCCGGCUUGUGUGUUGGGUCAUCGUCCCCUCCGGGGGACGGGCCCGAAAGGCAGCGGCGGCACCGCGUCCGGUCCUCGAGCGUAUGGGGCUUUGUCACCCGCUCGAUAAGGACCGGCCGGGCGCCAGCCGGCGUCUCCAACCUUUUUUUCUCAGGUUGACCUCGGAUCAGGUAGGGAUACCCGCUGAACUUAAGC